CUAGGCGACGAUCCCUAGCUGGUCUGAGAGGAUGACCAGCCACACUGGAACUGAGACACGGUCCAGACUCCUACGGGAGGCAGCAGUGGGGAAUAUUGCACAAUGGGCGCAAGCCUGAUGCAGCCAUGCCGCGUGUAUGAAGAAGGCCUUCGGGUUGUAAAGUACUUUCAGCGGGGAGGAAGGGAGUAAAGUUAAUACCUUUGCUCAUUGACGUUACCCGCAGAAGAAGCACCGGCUAACUCCGUGCCAGCAGCCGCGGUAAUACGGAGGGUGCAAGCGUUAAUCGGAAUUACUGGGCGUAAAGCGCACGCAGGCGGUUUGUUAAGUCAGA
rnacentral:rRNA from 1 species